GCCACCCGAGCCGCAGGUGAGCCACCGCGCGGGGCCCCGAGUGGCCGGGCCCGUAAGUGUCUGCUCCCCAAGCGCGGAGAUGCCCGCCCCUGCGCCUGGACGCGGGCCGCCCGUCUCCUCAGCGCCGCGGGGCUUGAGGAGGAGCGAGCGCCACCUGCGGGGCCGGGGCUCUCGCGGGCGGAGACGCCCUCCUGAGGGAUCGGAACCGUGACGCCGCGUGGCCCGAGCCGGGGGCGAAGACGUCGCCGUGAGCUCCUGAGGGCUCGGGUGCCUCGCCAGGGUCUGGGGAGAGGAAGGACGGAUGGCAGGAGCCCCGGGAAACCGUGGCGGGGCUGUGAGUCCCCUGUUGCCGCUUCCUGGCGUCGCCAGAUUUCCAGUACAAUGUUGAACACCAGUGGCGAGAGCGGACAUCCUUGUCAUGUUCCUGUGACCUUAUGGGAGAAGCUCUGUUUUUCUCUGUUAAGGAUGAUAUUUGCUGUUAGUUUUUUGUAUACGGCUUUUAUGAUACUGAGAUAUGUUCCCUCUAUCCCUACACAAUGGAGAGUUUUUAACAAGAAAGGAUGCUGUAUUUUGUCAAAUGCUUCUUCUGCAUCUACUGAGAGAAUCAUACAGUUCUUGUUCUUUAUUUUAUUGAUGUGGUGUUAUCACACUGAUUGAUUUGUGAACGUUGAACUACCAUUGCACUUCAGGAAUAAAUCCCACCUGGUCAUACUGAAUAAUCCUUUUUUUUUUUUCUUAAAGAUUUUAUUUAUUUAUUCAUAAGAGAGACUUAGAAGCAGUGAGAUAGGCAGAGGGAGAAACAGGCUGCCUGGGAGAACCCUGAUAUGGGACUCAAUCCCAGGACCCUGGGAUCAUGACCUGAGCUGCAGGUAGACACUCAACCACUGAGCCACCCAGGCAUCCCAAAUAAUCCUUUUAAUGUACUGUUGGAAAAAUAAUAAUAAUAAUAAUAUACUGUUGGACCCUAUUAGCUGAUACCAGGGUGAGAAUUUUUGCAUCCAUGUUCACCAGGGAUAUUGGUCUGUUAUUCUCCUUUUCAGUGGGGUCCUUGUCUUGUUUUGGGAUUAAAAUAAUGCUGGCCUCACAGAAUGAGUUUGGAGGUUUUCGUUCCAUUUCUAUUUUUUGAAAGAGUUUCAGAAGAACAGCUAUUAAAUUUUUCUUUAAAUGUUUGAUAGAAUUCUGCUGGGAGACCAUCCAGCCCUGGACUCUUACUUGUUGGGAGAUUUCUGAUUACUACUUCAAUUUCUUUGCUGGUUAUGAGUAUGUUCAGAUUUUCUAUUUCUUCCUGAUUCAGUUUUGGUAGUUUUUAUGUUUCUUAGGAAUGCAUUCAUUUUUUCCAGAUUGCCUACUUUGUUAGCAUACUAUAUGCCAACUUGCUCAUAAUAUUCUCUGAUAAUUGUAUUUCUUAGGUGUUGGUUAUGAUCUCUCCUCUUUCAUUUAUGAUUUUAUUUGAGUCCUUUUUCUUUUCUUUUUGGUAAGUCUGGCUAGCGGUUUAUCAAUCUUAUUCUUUCAUGGAACCAGGUCCUAGUUUUGUUGAUCUGUUCUACUGUUCUUUUGGUUUCUAUUUCUAUUGAUUUCUGCUCUAAUCUUUAUUAUUUCUCUUCUGUUGGAUUUAGGCUUUAUUUGCUGUUCUUUUUUAAGGUUUUUUUUU